rnacentral:rRNA from 1 species
GAUGAACGCUGGCGGCGUGCUUAACACAUGCAAGUCGAACGAUGAAGCCCAGCUUGCUGGGUGGUUUUGUGGCGAACGGGUGAGUAACUCGUGCGUAACCUGCCCUUGACUCUGGGAUAAGCCUGGGCAACAGGGCCUAAUUCUUGCUAUGUCUUCUUUUCGCAUGCUGGGGGGAGGAAAGAUUUAUUGGUUUUGGAUGGCCUCUCGGUCUAUCAGCUCGUUUGUGAGGAAAUGGCACACUAAGGCGACGACGGGUAGCCGGCCUGUGAGGGUGGCCGGCCACACGGGGACUGAGACACGGCCCAGACGCCUACGGGAGGCAGCAGUGGGGAAUAUUGCACAAUGGGCGCAAGCCUGAUGCAGCGACGCCGCGUGAGGGAUGACGGCCUUCGGGUUGUAAACCUCUUUCAGUAGGGAAGAAGCGAGAGUGACGGUACCUGCAGAAGAAGCGCCGGCUAACUACGUG